UCCUUUAUAUUAUGGAUGGCCUGAUUGUUAUGGACAAUUGUUUUGAAACGGUUUCUAUUACAUGGACAGCAUUCCAAAACCAAACAUUUUUAACCAGCUACAAACACUGAGUGAUAUCAUCCAGAAGCAGCAAAAUGAAGGGUUAUGAUUUCAAAUUUAUAAGACGAUCAAGGCUGUUCAAGGAAUGCAGUUCUGCCACACAAGACAAGUGGACAACAGUUCAUUGGUGGCAACAGACUGGCUAUAUGCCUCAAGUCCCACACUGUGAUGUCAGGAGCCCCUUAUACCUACUUCCCUGAGAGCCAGGACUGUCAUAAAAUAAAGAGCGAUGAACAAUUAAUGGGCGACAUCACAAACAUGUUCCAAUCAGAGCUGGUUAUGGCAGGGAUUACACAAUCAUUCAAAGUCUUUCAGCCUUCUCUGUGGCUAAAACAAGAACUAAAUCC